rnacentral:rRNA from 1 species
AAGCCAUGCAGAGUCAAAUAUUUUCGUGAACAUGGCGAAUACUCAGUAACACGUGGAUAACCUGCCCUUAGACUGGCAUAACCCCGGGAAACUGGGGAUAAUUCUGGAUAGUUCAUGGUAGCUGGAAUGCUCCAUGAUCGAAAGCUAUUGCGCCUAAGGAUGGGUCUGCGGUCUAUCAGGUAGUAGUGGGUGUAAUGUACUACUAGCCGACGACGGAUACGGGUUGUGGGAGCAAGAGCCCGGAGAUGGAUUCUGAGACAUGAAUCCAGGCCCUACGGGGCGCAGCAGGCGCGAAAACUUUACAAUGCGGGAAACCGCGAUAAGGGGACACCGAGUGCCAGCAUCUUAUGUUGGCUGUCCGCAUGUAUAAAUCACAUGUGUUAGCAAGGGCCGGGCAAGACCGGUGCCAGCCGCCGCGGUAACACCGGCGGCCCGAGUGGUGGCCACUAUUAUUGGGUCUAAAGGGUCCGUAGCCGGUUUGGUCAGUCUUCCGGGAAAUCUGACGGCUUAACCGUUAGGCUUUCGGGGGAUACUACCAGGCUUGGGACCGGGAGAGGUAAGAGGUACUACGGGGGUAGGAGUGAAAUCUUGUAAUCCUCGUGGGACCACCAGUGGCGAAGGCGUCUUACCAGAACGGGUCCGACGGUGAGGGACGAAAGCUGGGGGCACGAACCGGAUUAGAUACCCGGGUAGUCCCAGCCGUAAACUAUGCUCGCUAGGUGUCAGGGACGGUGCGACCGUUUCUGGUGCCGCAGGGAAGCCGUGAAGCGAGCCACCUGGGAAGUACGGUCGCAAGGCUGAAACUUAAAGGAAUUGGCGGGGGAGCACUACAACGGGUGGAGCCUGCGGUUUAAUUGGACUCAACGCCGGAAAACUCACCGGGGGCGACAGCAAUAUGUAGGUCAAGCUAACGACUUCAGCU